UCACUUCCUUUGUAACCGUUCUUCCAUAUCUUUCUCUUUCCCUCUGCAAUAAAGCCACAACCACAACUCACUCUCUUUUCCAAAGUCAAAGAAAUGGCCAUCGCCACCACGAUAUCUAUACUACGAUCAUCCUCCGUUCGUAACGUCACCAGAAGCUCAGCUCCCAAGCCAAGGUUGCUCGAUUUUCCUUCGAUUUUUUGAAAUCGAAGCAAAUAUGAAUGUAUUUUUCGAAAUCUGAUCCUCCGCCCUCCCGCUUCGCCACUCAUAUUCCACGAUGAAUAAUGGCAACGCCGUAACCACUAAUCCACUGAUAGAAUGUUGAAAUCUGAGCUUCUCAAUCACCCAAUGGUAUGGAAAAGUUGUUCCCAUCCUCAACAAUUGUUCGCUCAGCUUCCCCUCUGGACAGUUCUGGAUGCUUCUUGUCCCCAAUGGCUGUGGAAAAUUCAUCCUCAAAAGUAUAUAUGAUUGUUCUUGCCGUGUGCAUUGAUUGCUUGUACCUUUCUUUGUCUGAGAGAGUGCCUGUUUUCUUUUUUAAAGCAUGAAUUUCCAAUUUAAAGCAUAGAUACAAAGCUCAUUUUCUCUAUUCAAGUAAGGAAUCAUAGGCAGAAGCCUUCGGGUUGUAUAACAUCACAUAGUUUGUUACUACUUACUUUUAUUUAAAAUUUCAAUUAUACAUUGGGCUGGGUGCUUCUUAUCAUAACCAAGUUGGCUUUUAGUUAUAAUAACAAGUGAAUUAAAUAGACAAUCACUAGCAUUUCACUUCGGUUACUACUUACUCACUCAAAAAUAAAGUUACCGAUCACUCACCGACUUU